rnacentral:rRNA from 1 species
GAGUUUGAUCCUGGCUCAGAAUGAACGCUGGCGGCGUGCUUUACACAUGCAAGUCGAGCGAGGCGUGUAGCAAUACACAGUCGAGCGGCGAACGGGUGAGUAACACGUGGAUUAUCUGCCCUGAGGUGGGGGAUAACCCGGGGAAACUCGGGCUAAUACCGCAUAUGACCGUGAGGUCAAAGGGGGCUCGCAAGGGCUCUCGCCAUAGGAGGAGUCCGCGUCCGAUUAGCUAGUUGGUAGGGUAAUGGCCUACCAAGGCGACGAUCGGUAGCCGGCCUGAGAGGGUGAUCGGCCACACUGGAACUGAGACACGGUCCAGACUCNCUACGGGAGGCAGCAGUGGGGAAUUUUGCGCAAUGGGCUAACGCCUGACGCAGCAACGCCGCGUGCGGGAUGAAGGCCCUCGGGUUGUAAACCGCUUUCAGUAGGGAAGAAAAUGACGGUACCUACAGAAGAAGCCCCGGCCAACUACGUGCCAGCAGCCGCGGUAACACGUAGGGGGCAAGCGUUGUCCGGAUUUAUUGGGCGUAAAGAGCUCGUAGGCGGUUUCGUAAGUCGGAUGUGAAAACUCCAGGCUCAACUUGGAGACGCCAUUCGAUACUGCGAUGACUUGAGUCCGGUAGGGGAGUGUGGAAUUCCUGGUGUAGCGGUGAAAUGCGCAGAUAUCAGGAGGAACACCGGCGGCGAAGGCGGCACUCUGGGCCGGCACUGACGCUGAGGAGCGAAAGCGUGGGUAGCAAACAGGAUUAGAUACCCUGGUAGUCCACGCCGUAAACGUUGGGCGCUAGGUGUGGGGUUCCUUCCACGAACUCCGUGCCGCAGCUAACGCAUUAAGCGCCCCGCCUGGGGAGUACGGCCGCAAGGCUAAAACUCAAAGGAAUUGACGAGGGCCCGCACAAGCGGCGGAGCAUGCGGAUUAAUUCGAUGCAACGCGAAGAACCUUACCAAGGCUUGACAUGCACGGGAAAGUUCCAGAGAUGGUUCCCCCGCAAGGUCCGUGCACAGGUGGUGCAUGGUUGUCGUCAGCUCGUGUCGUGAGAUGUUGGGUUAAGUCUCGCAACGAGCGCAACCCUCGUUCCAUGUUGCCAGCGCGUAAUGGCGGGGACUCAUGGGAGACUGCCGGGGUCAACUCGGAGGAAGGUGGGGACGACGUCAAAUCAUCAUGCCCCUUAUGUCUUGGGCUUCACGCAUGCUACAAUGGCCGGUACAAAGGGUUGCGAUACUGUGAGGUGGAGCUAAUCCCAAAAAGCCGGUCUCAGUUCGGAUUGGGGUCUGCAACUCGACCCCAUGAAGUCGGAGUCGCUAGUAAUCGCAGAUCAGCAACGCUGCGGUGAAUACGUUCCCGGGCCUUGCACACAC